CGCUCCCUAAUGCGGCGUUCCGAGCGCGAGGGCGCCCCUGCUGCUGCUCCGCGCGCCCCCGACUCCUGCGGCGUUCUAAGCUUGCUCGUGGCCCCUGCUCGGUGUAGUCUCUGACCCCGCUGUCAGUUUCCCUGCGGAUGGCUGGUCCUAGGUCUAGGACAUGGACGUGUGGAAGUGGAUGCUGUCCCUCUCCCUCAUCCCUGAGCCCUAGCGUUCUUCCAGGAGGGGACCUUGACAGGGGUCCUCACUCCUUCCAUUCAUUCAGCUCUACAUCCAUUCAUUCAUCCACCCAUCCGGGCUCUAGGAGCUCAGUCCCUGCCUCAGUCUCCCUCUCUAGCCCAACCCACAUCCUCACACCCAGAAAUGCCUGCAGUUAGCCCCUUCACCUCCCUAGGACCAGUUACUCCCCUUCAGCAGCUCCAAAGAUCUCUGUGCAUCCUCCACCUGGGAGGCGGGUGGCACCUGAGCCCCUCAUUCUUAGCCCAAAUUCCGCCACCUCCAUGACUGACCUCGAACUCUCCCUCCAUGGUCACGAUCUCCUCUCAUUCCAUCUCUCCCUCUGCUUCACAGGGCCAGGCAGUUGUAAGUCAUGGAGGCCUGAUGAAUUAGUGUUGAAUUCAUUUGAAUUGGCUCAUUCCUCCUGCACCUCCUGUGUUGCGGUCUCGGGGUGCUGGGAACCCAGAAAUUCAAGGGCAAACGUCACAGGUCCUUCUGUGAAAGAAUUCGACUGGAGCCUUCUUUCUGCUCAAGACAAGGUUUAUUAAAACAUCGGUUGGGGUAGAUGAGUUUACUGCAUAGAUGGCUAUUUGUGAUGGACUUUUGUGCAACCAGCAUUUGGUGAGAAGGGACCAAGCCUCGCAAAUAAUUGAAAGAAACAACCUCAUUGGAUCAGUAGGACCUUAAAUGGCCCAGCCCUAUCAACAACAGAGUUCAAUUGAAGAGAGUCAGGGCUCAGGAACAUUUUGUGAAAAUCUCUGAGGAAAGGUGGGGAGAAGGUGAUUUCUCUCUCCUCUCUUCACCUCCGUUGGUGCCCAUCACGGCCAAACUGAGGAAAAUUCAACUUGCACUAACCUUGGAACGUCUUGUUCCUUCUUAUUCUUAGAAGUAAAGUACAAGAUCUCUUCUGGUCAUAUCAUCUCAUCGGCAUAUAAAUAUAUAAACUCAAAGGCAGGAACCUAUAGAGAACCUGAUGAGAAAUGGAACUCGGAACAAAAUUAUUCCACCUGGAAAAACAAAGUUUUGACAGUCUGAUGCAAGUACACAUAACCCGAGUACAACCCAGAAAGAACUAAUUUAUGCUAUAAUUGUGGUCUGCAUGGAUAUAGGAGACAUAAGCAUACUUGGAGGAGGAAUGCAGGCUUUAUAUGUUAGAAGAUUCAUUCAAAAAUGCUAUCAAGGAACAAAUGUUGCCAGGGUUGAGGAUGUCACCCUGGAUUCUAAAAACAGUAAACUAGGCCUCAUCUUCAGAUGCUUAUGGGUCCACCCCAUGUGGACUCAUUGGACAUUAUGCACAAGUGAUAGUGAAGAUUGAAAAUGUGGACUGCGCUGCUAUGUUGGACAGCAGAUCCCAAGUGACCAUUGUAUUCUUAUUAUUCUAUGAGAGAAAUUUGAGAAAGGACCUUUCUAGUCUAUGAAAGAACUAGGAUUCAAUAUAAUAAGUGACAAGGGCUGUUCAUAUUCAGGGUACGAGCAGGGUAAGCUUAAAAUUUCCUAAGGAAGUUGUUGUCAAUAGAAAGGUAGAUACCAUAGCUCUAUUGUAUCUAGGAUCAGCAAUUAUCUCUGGGGCAUCAUUAUUGAUUGGAACCAUCUCCAUUUUCUUUAAGCUAUUAGCAGGAUACUAUGGGUAAGAAGCUGGGACUUGAUCCUUGAUACUCUGACCAUACAUUCAGCUUUGCAGAAGAUUAUGGGAAGAGAGAAGCCAUCUCAAGAGUACUGGGGCGUUUUACAACUUGGAAGAGGAUCCCCAAAAGCUUUAUUUUUAUGACUCAUCAGUGGCUGAAGAAUGGAAGGAUCGGUUAAGGAAGAAGAUUAGAAAGAGGAUAGAUGUAUUCUCAUUGUGGAGAGUGAGAUGUUCCCAAAGAACCUUUGCUCUCGAAACCCACCUGACUCCUGAACUUUCUGAGAGCAUGCUAGACAGAUUCCUCUACCUGAAAUGACAAGCCUCACAAACCAUAUGAAUGAAAGGUUGGUCAACAGCCUUCUCACAAUCCACACAGAUAUGUAUAGACUGUUGUACUUGGAACAAAAGAACUGAGGCAAACCGUGCCAAGAGUUCAUGAUGCCCUGUGUUAUUUGAUAGGCAACCAGGGGUCCUCGGUGUUGGGUUACCCAGUGGAUACUAUCAGAUUUCUAUAAUAGAGGAGAGAAAGCAGCUUUUAUCUGUCUGCUCAGCUGGAUUUUACCAAUAUGUGUAUGCCCCAAGCCACUUUGGAAGCAAUUUGCUAUUUUUCCAACAGCUGAUGAGGAAAGCAAGUAGGGACAUGAACUUCAUGGAGAUAUUGGUGUGUCUAGAUGACCUCAUUUUCUUUGGAAAGAUACAAGAACAUAAGGGAAGACUGAAGAAAGUGCCGGACUGCUUAUAGGAAGCUGAUCUGAAGCUGUCACCUGAUAAGUGCUAGUUUUGCUGAGCUUCUAAUCCAGUAUAUGGGUCCCACAGUGUCUCAGCAAGGAGUGAGUAUUGACCCAGAGAAGAGAGAAGCAUCCAUAGAGUCACAGAAUUUGAGGGGUAGAAAGGAACUCAGCAGUCCACUAGUCUAACCCAUAUCUGAAAAGAAAUCUGCCCUCCUCUGCUUGAAGACCUAUUCCAGAAGCUGUGCCCCUCCCAAUGCAGCCCCAAAUAGCAUUAGCUUUUUUUGGUUAGCACAUGACACUGCUGACUCCUACUGAGCUUUCAGUCCACUAAAACCCCCACAUCUUUUUCAGAACUGCUACCUAUCUAAGCCAUCUCUACUUUAUACUUUAUUUCUUCCUAUACUUAUUUCUAUAUUCAAAUGCAAGACUUGACAUUCACCCCUAUAGAAUUUCAUCUAAUUAGUUUCAGACUAACACUCUAGCCCAGGAGUGUCAAAUUCAAAUAGAAACAGACCCCUGCUUGCCUUAUAGAAAAAAACCACACAUUAACAUUAUCUAUGUU